ACCACGCAGGUGCUUUGAGUGCCCGCAGCUCCUGAGGCUCUGACAAAAUGGAAACACUGAAGUGAAAGCCCACGGCCAGGGGGAUCAUUCCCCAGAUGUGAUAAGUGGGGGAGGAGGAACCCAAGAGCAGCUGUGAACAAUGAACAAGGACCAAACGUUAUCAGCAGAAAGAGAAGCUGGCAGUGCCAAGAGCACGAUGGCAGCUCGCGCUGUGCCGAGCAGAGUGCCCGUGGUGCCAGCUCUGUGUUCCUUCCUAGCCUGCAAAUGAAACAGCCUGGCAGUCUGUCUUUCCUGCAUGGAGAUUGGAUUUCAGCUGAUGUGCCUGCAGUGCCCGCUCUGCUGAGCUGCAAGUGAAAGAUCUGCUGAGUAAGAAAUUAUUAAAGGCCAGCAAGAGCUUCGUUGGCUUUUGGUGCUGUCGGUGCAAACUUUCUCGAUAAUGGAGCAGCUUUUCCAGGAACACAAUCAGGAGAGCCCAGGCUGUGUUAGCACCUCGCUGCUCCAGUCAGCUGUUCCAGGAAGGGAGCUCUGCACAGAGCCUUUGCUGUUCCUUUAUUCCAGAGGCUCGGGAUGUCAGAGCUGAGGCAGUGCUCCAUGCGAUGCAUCGCCUCCCCCACACACUCUCGCAGGCUUAAAAGCAUCACAGGCUCUAAACUGGGACUAUUUUAGAAGGGACUGGUCUGUCUGCAGCAGCCUGGAGCCCAGGGGGAUCUUUGGAGGGAGAGCUGAGGGUCUCACAGGUCACAGUCCUGUGAACCUGCAGUGCUGAUUUUUCCAUUGAAGAGGAAAGCUGCAGGUCAGAGCUUCACCCCAUCAAUAUCACCGGGAUAUGGCAAGAGUCAGACCAGAGCACCUGGAUACUUCAAGCAGGAGCUUUGUAUAAAACUGAGACACAGAUUCCUGAAAGCUGCCUGUUAAAAGCUGGCACCCCAAGGAUGGCAGAAGCCAGGUGACUCUGUGUUUGUACCAUUGCUGCAGAUGACAUCUUUCUCUUAAACCUUUUAAAUCAAUACACUACUCUAAAAAAGGCCAACCUGUAAUAAAUGCAGGAAAAUAUCAGCA
rnacentral:lncRNA from 1 species